rnacentral:rRNA from 1 species
AUGGAGCCGUCGGAGACUAGCCCAGCCGUCACCACCAUCGACUCCCUCAAGGACGACAACAUCGAGGACGUCCUGCUGCGCCUCCCGUCGCCGGCCUCCCUCGCUCGAGCCGCGCUCGCCUCACGCCGCUGGCGCGGCAUCGCCUCAAGCUCCCCCUUCCUGCGCCGCUUUCGCGAGCUCCACCCCCGGUCACCCAUCCUCGGCCUCUUCGCCUCCCAGCCGGACCUCCAGCAGCUCCCCAUCUUCCACCCCGCGGCCGCCGCCCGCUCCGACCCGGACCUCGCAGCCGCCGCGCGUGGGGGCGACUUCCUGCUCACCCGCCUCGAGGACGACCCGGCGUGGCGCUUCCGGGACUGCCGCAACGGCCUCCUCCUCCUCCGCAGAGGCCACUCCCUUUCCCUCUACGACCCCGUCUCCCACCGGCAAGUCCGCGUGCCCCGUCCACCGAAGGACGAGCCCUUCCCUGCAGCUGGAGCAGCGGAGUACUUAUGGGACUGCUUGCUGGACGGCCAUGGAGAAUUCCGCGUGGUCACCGUGCAGCGAGACGGCCAAAGGUUGCGCGCCAUGGAGUACGCCUCCCGCACAGCCGAGUGGCGCAUCCACCCGUGGGCGGACGGCAUCCACAUGCCUGCGCAUGCGCAGAGCAUGCGACCGAUGCUCGCUGCCGCGGCCGGGCUCAUCUUUUGGAGAUAUGACCGGAACUCCUCGCUCCUGCUCGAUACAAGCACCAUGGCAUUCUCCUUCUCCAUCGUCCCUCUCCCAGUUACAAUAGCGACGCACACGAUGAUGCCGCCGGGAGCAUACGCCAUCGGAGACACCGAGGCCGGUGUGUGUUGCCUUUUGCUUAUGGUCGGCAGGACUACGCUGCAAGUCUGGCUACUCAAGAAGAAGGACGGCGGCGGCGGGCAUGCGUGGGAGUUGGAGAAGCAAAGCCAUAUAGGCUGGCUGGACAGCUUCAACCGGCGGUUUGGUGUCCAAAUGGUGGCUGCUGGGCUCGCAAUUGUUUACUGCAUGAGUUGCAAGUAUUCUCACUUUGUCAUUGAUCUCAAGGACCUGAGCCUCAAGGAUAAGUUCCGUUGUCAUCGAACCAUGGCGUACCCUUUCCAAAUGCCAUGGCCACCUGCUGCGUUGGUGCCUACUUCUCCGUGCGAACGGCCCACCACACCCCAAACAUAUGCAUGCCGAGAUGCUGAAAAUCAACACGAAGCACCUUCUUCUAGUAGGAAGCGCAAGAGCAAUGAUGAAAUGGAGCCAUGUAUUUCCCCAGCUUCUUUGAAGAAUGAAUUCAUCAGAUAA